rnacentral:rRNA from 1 species
CUACGGGCGGCAGCAGUGGGGAAUAUUGGACAAUGGGGGAAACCCUGAUCCAGCAAUGCCGCGUGUGUGAAGAAGGCCUGCGGGUUGUAAAGCACUUUCGGUUGGGAGGACUGCUUCUAGCACUAAUAUUGUUGGAAGUUGACGUUACCUUCAGAAGAAGCACCGGCUAACUCCGUGCCAGCAGCCGCGGUAAUACGGAGGGUGCAAGCGUUAAUCGGAAUUACUGGGCGUAAAGCGCGCGUAGGCGGCUAGAUCAGUCGGGUGUGAAAGCCCCGGGCUUAACCUGGGAACUGCAUCCGAUACUGUCUAGCUUGAGUACGGGAGAGGAGAGUGGAAUUCCACAUGUAGCGGUGAAAUGCGUAGAUAUGUGGAGGAACACCAAUGGCGAAGGCAGCUCUCUGGCCUGAUACUGACGCUGAGGUGCGAAAGCGAGGGGAGCAAACAGGAUUAGAUACCCUCGUAGUC